rnacentral:rRNA from 1 species
AUUGAACGCUGGCGGUAGGCCUAACACAUGCAAGUCGAACGGCAGCACAGUAAGAGCUUGCUCUUACGGGUGGCGAGUGGCGGACGGGUGAGGAAUACAUCGGAAUCUACUUUUUCUUGGGGGAUAACGUAGGGAAACUUACGCUAAUACCGCAUACGACCUACGGGUGAAAGCAGGGGAUCUUCGGACCUUGCGCGAUUGAAUGAGCCGAUGUCGGAUUAGCUAGUUGGCGGGGUAAAGGCCCACCAAGGCGACGAUCCGUAGCUGGUCUGAGAGGAUGAUCAGCCACACUGGAACUGAGACACGGUCCAGACUCCUACGGGAGGCAGCAGUGGGGAAUAUUGGACAAUGGGCGCAAGCCUGAUCCAGCCAUACCGCGUGGGUGAAGAAGGCCUUCGGGUUGUAAAGCCCUUUUGUUGGGAAAGAAAAGCAGCAGGUUAAUACCCCGCUGUUCUGACGGUACCCAAAGAAUAAGCACCGGCUAACUUCGUG